rnacentral:lncRNA from 1 species
UCUCUCUCUCUCUCUCUCUCUCUCUCUCUCUCUCUCAAACACACUCAAAAAUGAGAACAAGGAGUUCAAUAUGGAGAGUUGGGUCCAAGAAGAGAAAGCUAAGGCUUUCCUUGAUUGGGAACUCCAAGGCCGCCAAAUCUUCCAUAGAAAGGAAACUUAUGCAGCUCCAGAAGCUCAUCCCAGGAUGCAUCAUUAACAGCAGCAAUCCAGAAACCAUGUUCCAAGAGAUUGCUAAUUACAUCUUUCUCUUAGAAGCUAAGGUGAAUAUCCUCAGACUUCUGGCCACUUCAUAUGGAGUCUAACGAGAAAAAUCAUUCUCGCGCGCCCUUGAUGUGCAAAGAGCUAGCAAUAUUCAACUUGCGAAAGAAAGAAGAGAGAGAUGCAAAUCUGUGUAGUACUUACCUUUGUACUUUAUUUAAUUUCUAUCUUUGCAGGAGUGUAAAUAAAGGCAUAAAUGUAUGAUUGCUGUUGUUUAGAUGUCGGUUUUGAUCAUGCAUAUCAAUCAAUCAAUCAUCUAUCCUUAUCUUUCCUCUUUGCAAAUGGUUGUACUACGAGUGAGUGAGUGGAUGUACAAAAUGAUUAAACUAUAGUUUCCAGAA